rnacentral:rRNA from 1 species
UACGAAGGGGGCCAGCGUUGUUCGGAAUUACUGGGUGUAAAGGGUUCGUAGGCGGUGUGGCAAGUCGGGAGUGAAAUCUCUGGGCUCAACCCAGAGUCUGCUUCCGAAACUGCUGUGCUUGAGUGUGGGAGAGGCGCGUGGAAUUGCAGGUGUAGCGGUGAAAUGCGUAGAUAUCUGCAGGAACACCCGUGGCGAAAGCGGCGCGCUGGACCACUACUGACGCUGAGGAACGAAAGCUAGGGGAGCAAACAGG